UUGAUGCAGUUAUCAAAAUGAAGUGCAGAAUACAAGUAAAGUGCAGAUUGAGAGUGAAUUGAAGAACGUGUGAAGAUGCAUGGUAGGAUCCUUCUACUACAUUGCAGAGAAAGAUAUGGAAGAGUUAGAGCUGACUUUCUUAACCAAAGAUUGCUAGUUCACUGAUCUACAACGAAUGAAAGUUUUGGAGAUUGGAAGCAUCAGCUAAGGGGGAGUCUGUUGAUGUCAGAAGCUGUAUAGCUGAAGCUAUCCAAAGACCAAAAGAACACAAGAUGUUUGAAGACAAAGUUACACUAUGAAGCUAUCGUCAAGGGGGGAGUCUGUUGUCUUUGGAUAUUUUGUAAUGGGCCUAGCAUAUUGGUUAGUGAGUUAUUUGUUGUAAUGGGCUUGGAGAAUGGCCUAGCCCAGUAGGAAGCCCAGUUCACAAACAUGUGGUAUAUAAACAUGUUUUGUGAUGAGCAUUUACUCUUCUUAGAGAAUUCUAGAGAGAGAAAGUCUAGAGAGAGAGAAGAAUUUCUAAUUAGGGUUUGUGAGACAAGAUCACAGAGAGUGGCUGUGAGGUUGUGUAGGUAUUGAAUUGAUUGUAAACUGCAAGUUGGAUAAUCAAUACAAUAUCGGUUUAAUUU
rnacentral:lncRNA from 1 species